UACAGAGGUCUCAAGCGUUGUUCGGAUUCAUUGGGCGUAAAGGGGGUGUAGGUGGCGCGCUAAGUCGGGUGUGAAAUUUCGGAGCUUAACUCCGAAACUGCAUUCGAUACUGCCGUGCUUGAGGACUGGAGAGGAGACUGGAAUUUACGGUGUAGCAGUGAAAUGCGUAGAGAUCGUAAGGAAGACCAGUGGCGAAGGCGGGUCUCUGGACAGUUCCUGACACUGAGGCACGAAGGCCAGGGGAGCAAACGGG
rnacentral:rRNA from 1 species